UUGUAAAAUUGAACAUGUAAAAUUCACAGUUUUAAUUUCACAAAGAAAACAGCGGGAUAGAAUAAAAAAGGGGUGAUAAGUAAGCUUGUUUAGAGAGGAAUAAAAAGAAAGUGACGGUAUACAACAAGAAGGAAAGAAAUUAACUGGUCAGAUCUGUAUCAAAGCAAAUAUAAAGAAGUGAGAAUGCGGUCACUAAUUGCUCUGUUAUUCAAAAGUAGAAAGGCGCUUAUUUAAAAAAUAAAUAAGCGCCUUA
rnacentral:misc_RNA from 1 species